rnacentral:rRNA from 1 species
GAUGAACGCUGGCGGCGUGCCUAAUACAUGCAAGUCGAGCGAACAGACGAGGAGCUUGCUCCUCUGAUGUUAGCGGCGGACGGGUGAGUAACACGUGGAUAACCUACCUAUAAGACUGGGAUAACUUCGGGAAACCGGAGCUAAUACCGGAUAACAUGUUGAACCGCAUGGUUCAACAGUGAAAGACGGUCUUGCUGUCACUUAUAGAUGGAUCCGCGCCGCAUUAGCUACUUGGUAAGGUAACGGCUUACCAAGGCAACGAUGCGUAGCCGACCUGAGAGGGUGAUCGGCCACACUGGAACUGAGACACGGUCCAGACUCCUACGGGAGGCAGCAGUAGGGAAUCUUCCGCAAUGGGCGAAAGCCUGACGGAGCAACGCCGCGUGAGUGAAGAAGGUCUUCGGAUCGUAAAACUCUGUUAUUAGGGAAGAACAAAUGUGUAAGUAACUAUGCACGUCUUGACGGUACCUAAUCAGAAAGCCACGGCUAACUACGUG